rnacentral:tRNA from 1 species
CAGAAAAUAGUUUAUAAAAAUUUUAAUUUUGGAGAUUAAUGAUAGAAAGUAUUUUCUUUUUCUGA